rnacentral:rRNA from 1 species
AUUGAACGCUGGCGGCAGGCUUAACACAUGCAAGUCGAGCGGAGAUGAGGUGCUUGCACCUUAUCUUAGCGGCGGACGGGUGAGUAAUGCUUAGGAAUCUGCCUAUUAGUGGGGGACAACAUUCCGAAAGGAAUGCUAAUACCGCAUACGUCCUACGGGAGAAAGCAGGGGACCUUCGGGCCUUGCGCUAAUAGCUGAGCCUAAGUCGGAUUAGCUAGUUGGUGGGGUAAAGGCCUACCAAGGCGACGAUCUGUAGCGGGUCUGAGAGGAUGAUCCGCCACACUGGGACUGAGACACGGCCCAGACUCCUACGGGAGGCAGCAGUGGGGAAUAUUGGACAAUGGGCGGAAGCCUGAUCCAGCCAUGCCGCGUGUGUGAAGAAGGCCUUUUGGUUGUAAAGCACUUUAAGCGAGGAGGAGGCUUCUAGUACUAAUACUACUGGAUAGUGGACGUUACUCGCAGAAUAAGCACCGGCUAACUCUGUGCCAGCCGCCGCGGUAAGAC